CCUGCAGCCGCGCGCGCCCGCUGAACUGAAGCGCGCGCGUGUGUGAGGAUGGAUGUCAACACGAAGCAGAAGGAGUUGAAAAUGCCAGCUGGUCUUUACGAUGGGUUCAUGUAAAGAUGGAUGAAGUAAUAGAAAAGCUCCAUUCAGAGCAGAACUUCCAUUCAGAGAAUCUUCGGAGCCAACUUAAAGUCACUUUCCAAGGUCUC